CGUUCCCAGGGGCCUUGGCCCAGGGAGGAUGGUGCACACAUGGGUGGCUGCUUCUGUAUCCCUGGGGAGCGGAGUCUACCCUGGGGCCCAGGUAAAGAAGGUUCUUCCAAGGAUCCGCCUGGAUUGACUGAGGACAUAUCCUCACUUGAAAACAAGAGAAAAUGUUUCCUGCCACAGAAUAUGACUCAAGACCUGGUGCUCUCAUUCUGGGUGAGGAGUCGUUCCAGGAGGUGUGUCAACGCAGCCUUACAGGAAGCUGCACGGAGGAGGCUCUGGGCCCUGGAGAAUGAAGCCCACGAAGUCCAUGCACUGUUUAAGGAUCUCUCUGCAAGGUUGGUGAGUGUCCAGUCCCAGAAGGACCAGUUCCUCAUCACCUUCAAGACCCUGGAGGAAAUCUGGAAGUUUUCCACGUACCUGAACUUAGGUAUGCCUUGGGCUAUGUGUCUACAUGUCUGGAACACCUCUUCUUUGACCACACGUACUGGCUCAACAGCAGACUGGUGGACGACACAGAGAUCCAAGUGUCUGUGGACGACACUCACUUGGAAAACAUAUACCUGGGCCUCCUGCUGCAGGAAGGUCACUUCUUCUGCAGAGCCAUGUGCUCUGUGACUCAGCCAGCUGA
rnacentral:lncRNA from 1 species